ACAUAUAUAGUUGCAAGUUUUCCACAUUUGACAUAAAGUGGUACAAUAUCAUCUCUAAGUAGAUUGUGAAAAAGUAAGAUUAUGUACUUUA